CCUACGGGCGGCAGCAGUGAGGAAUAUUGGUCAAUGGGCUUACGCCUGAACCAGCCAAGUCGCGUGAGGGAAGACUGCCCUAUGGGUUGUAAACCUCUUUUGUCAGGGAGCAACGCCGGCUACGUGUAGCCGGACUGAGAGUACCUGAAGAAAAAGCAUCGGCUAACUCCGUGCCAGCAGCCGCGGUAAUACGGAGGAUGCGAGCGUUAUCCGGAUUUAGUGGGUUUAAAGGGUGCGUAGGCGGAAUGCCAAGUCAGCGGUAAAAUCGCGGGGCUCAACCUCGCUCCGCCGUUGAACCUGGCGUUGUUGGGUGGGCGAGAAGUAUGCGGAAUGCGUGGUGUAGCGGUGAGAUGCAUAGAUAUCACGCAGAACUGCGAUUGCGAAGGCAGCAGACCGGCGCCCAGCUGACGCUGAAGCACGAAAGCGUGGGUAUCGAACAGGAUUAGAUACCCCAGUAGUC
rnacentral:rRNA from 1 species